UGACAGUUAGUUUAAUAAAAACAAAUGGUUUCGACCCAUUAAAUUAUGUUAACUACAUAACUGCCAA
rnacentral:tRNA from 1 species